rnacentral:rRNA from 1 species
ACACAUGCAAGUCGAGGGGCAGCAUGGUCUUAGCUUGCUAAGGCCGAUGGCGACCGGCGCACGGGUGAGUAACACGUAUCCAACCUGCCGUCUACUCUUGGACAGCCUUCUGAAAGGAAGAUUAAUACAAGAUGGCAUCAUGAGUUCACAUGUUCACAUGAUUAAAGGUAUUCCGGUAGACGAUGGGGAUGCGUUCCAUUAGAUAGUAGGCGGGGUAACGGCCCACCUAGUCUUCGAUGGAUAGGGGUUCUGAGAGGAAGGUCCCCCACAUUGGAACUGAGACACGGUCCAAACUCCUACGGGAGGCAGCAGUGAGGAAUAUUGGUCAAUGGGCGCAGGCCUGAACCAGCCAAGUAGCGUGAAGGAUGACUGCCCUAUGGGUUGUAAACUUCUUUUAUAAAGGAAUAAAGUCGGGUAUGUAUACCCGUUUGCAUGUACUUUAUGAAUAAGGAUCGGCUAACUCCGUGCCAGCAGCCGCGGUAAUACGGAGGAUCCGAGCGUUAUCCGGAUUUAUUGGGUUUAAAGGGAGCGUAGGUGGAUGUUUAAGUCAGUUGUGAAAGUUUGCGGCUCAACCGUAAAAUUGCAGUUGAUACUGGAUAUCUUGAGUGCAGUUGAGGCAGGCGGAAUUCGUGGUGUAGCGGUGAAAUGCUUAGAUAUCACGAAGAACUCCGAUUGCGAAGGCAGCCUGCUAAGCUGCAACUGACAUUGAGGCUCGAAAGUGUGGGUAUCAAACAGGAUUAGAUACCCUGGUAGUCCACACGGUAAACGAUGAAUACUCGCUGUUUGCGAUAUACGGCAAGCGGCCAAGCGAAAGCGUUA